CCACCCUGAACACGCCCGAUCUCGUCUGAUCUCGGAAGCUAAGCAGGAUCGG
rnacentral:rRNA from 10 species